rnacentral:rRNA from 1 species
GAUGAACGCUGGCGGCGUGCCUAAUACAUGCAAGUCGAGCGAACAGAUAAGGAGCUUGCUCCUUUGACGUUAGCGGCGGACGGGUGAGUAACACGUGGGUAACCUACCUAUAAGACUGGGAUAACUUCGGGAAACCGGAGCUAAUACCGGAUAACAUUUGGAACCGCAUGGUUCUAAAGUGAAAGAUGGUUUUGCUAUCACUUAUAGAUGGACCCGCGCCGUAUUAGCUAGUUGGUAAGGUGACGGCUUACCAAGGCAACGAUACGUAGCCGACCUGAGAGGGUGAUCGGCCACACUGGAACUGAGACACGGUCCAGACUCCUACGGGAGGCAGCAGUAGGGAAUCUUCCGCAAUGGGCGAAAGCCUGACGGAGCAACGCCGCGUGAGUGAUGAAGGGUUUCGGCUCGUAAAACUCUGUUAUUAGGGAAGAACAAAUGUGUAAGUAACUGUGCACGUCUUGACGGUACCUAAUCAGAAAGCCACGGCUAACUACGUG